UGGCAGUGUGGUUAGCUGGUUGUGUGGCCACUUGAAAAAUCACAGCCACUAUCUUCACUGCCGCC
rnacentral:pre_miRNA from 1 species